UUGGAGGGCAAGUCUGGUGCCAGCAGCCGCGGUAAUUCCAGCUCCAAUAGCGUAUAUUAAAGUUGUUGCAGUUAAAAAGCUCGUAGUUGAAUUUCGGGAUCAGAGUGUCGGUCGUGCCUCGGUACGUACUGGUAUUAUUGGUUCCUACCUUCUGAAGAACCGCGAUGUCAUUAAUUUGGUGUCGUGGGGAAUCAGGACUGUUACUUUGAAAAAAUUAGAGUGUUUAAAGCAGGCUUACGCUUGAAUACAUUAGCAUGGAAUAAUGAAAUAGGACGUUUGAUUCUAUUUUGUUGGUUUCUAGGAUUGACGUAAUGAUUAAUAGGGAUAGUUGGGGGCAUUAGUAUUCAAUUGUCAGAGGUGAAAUUCUUGGAUUUAUUGAAGACUAACUACUGCGAAAACAUUUGCCAAGGAUGUUUUCAUUAACCAAGAACGAAAGUUAGGGGAUCGAAGACGAUCAGAUACCGUCGUAGUCUUAACCAUAAACUAUGCCGACUAGGGAUCGGAUGAUGUUAAUUUUUUAAUGACUCAUUCGGCGCCUUACGGGAAAC
rnacentral:rRNA from 1 species